GAGCAUUGUUAUAUGCUUGUUACCUCCAUAGGAAUGCAGAUAUAGGGGAGAUAGCUGCUCAAACUCUUUUUGAGCUGGAGCCAGAUAAUGUACACAAUUUUGAGCUUUUGAUGAAGAUUUAUGGUGAUGCAGGCAGGUUGGAGGAUGUAGAGAGAGUGAGAACAAUGAUGAUUGAUAGGGGAUUGUGAUUGGAAAUGUGCACUGGUACGAUCUAUAAACAGAGGAGAAAUCACGCUUGUGUUAGCCAUGCUCCCGCAGCUGUUAGCCGAGUCGCAUCUUCCUCAGGUUAGGUGUAGUCGACUCGCCAUAACCCACAUUAUGCUAUAGGCUUCUUUUUCUUUCUUCUUUAGUUCCUUUUUCCCCCCGAAAAAUAAAAAUAUUCAAAACUAAUAUGAUUUGUGAAUGGUAUCGAGGACC
rnacentral:misc_RNA from 1 species